rnacentral:lncRNA from 1 species
AUGUUCAGCUGUUUGUGGGUCAUUUUGACCUCCUCCCAGGUCAGGUCACACAUGAGCUCCCGGCCACACACGCCAGCAGAAAUUAGAUACUACACACACUCUCACUCCUCGCUCUGGUUCCAGGCACAGCUCCAUCGCUACUCACCGGAUCCCCCCUCCGCAGGCGCUCAGGCCCUCUCUCUCCCUCUCUUUCUGCUGGGGAUGGAAGGCAACCGUCACUCACCUGCCGACACGCCGCCCAUGCUUCCCUGUGGCCCCCACGCUUUGCUCAGGCUGAUUUCCUCAGUCUCUGAGGUUCUGCAAGACCUGGCCCAGCCUACCUUUCCAGCCUCCUGUCCCUAUAUGUUCCAUACCCACCCGAUCUCCCCGCCCCCACAUCAACCCUGCUCUUCUGACCUCUUCACAGGACUCACUCCUCUCUUCCUUCCCAGCCCAGGUUGUUAGACAUGAAUCUAGGUACUCCCUGAUUUGUGUAGGAGGAAUGAUGGCUGCGGCACACCGUGGUCUCGGAAUCCUUGCUGUUUCCCAGGCACAGGACCAACAGUUCCCGGUGGAUCAUUUCAUUUCAUUCUUUCUAGCAGUCUGUGAGGUGGGUAUGAUUCCCAAGGGGCCCAGCCCCGAGUUAUGAAUCAUCAUUGAUCUAAUUUCCCAGGUUUCUUUGCAGCAGGAAGAUAUGGGACACAAGACUGUCCAAAAGGUCACUGCGAGAGAUUCUAGGAAACACUUUGUUUGCCAACAGAAGGGAGGACAGAGGCAGUACUUUCCCCUUCCACUUUUUUCCUGUCUGGAGUUUGGAUGUGAUGGCUGGAGCUGUGGCAGCUGUUUCCAGCAGCUGCUGGACCAGAACAUGUAGUCGAC